CUCGGGAUGGGCGCAGGUGGCCACCACGAAGGACUGCAGUUCCCUCUCCAGUAACCACGGGGGCAACCAUUUCAGCUGGCAGUCGCAGAGGAAGCUGUCGCUGUUGAUGUGGCUGCAGAGAAACAAAACCAACACAGCCCGCUGAGUGGAAGGAAGAAAAGGACAGCCCUGCAGUCUCGAGGCACUAAUGAAGCUACCUACGUCACACAUUUAAGUGGCAUUUCAACUCCACACAGAACAACCCCCUCCUGUAUUCCAGUGACACUCCCUGCUGCCUUAUUAUUCAGUUUUCAGAGUGGUCCCCAGCAGCAUUUAUUAGCAUCCUAACAGUAACUCAGCACCAUCUGUUAAGGAAAGAGCUAUGGGUGCAAACAGAAGUGAAGACUCAGGAUUUACUUUUUUCAGUAAGACCAGAUCGGUCUUUCUCCUCUAUUUUGUUCCAAGAGCCAGUGUAGCAGAUAGAUAAAGUGGUUAAAGAGACAGUGGGCAUGCAACCUUCUCUUACUGACUCCGCAGUCCCUGUACUCGCUGUCACUGCUAGCAUCAGUUGUCUGAUUCCCAUUUUCAAAGUCAGGACGAAGACCCUGAACUUGCCUGAGUACCAACUAAGUGAUUUCUUCUUCCACAAACUGCACUACUCCAGAGCGGUGACAGUGGAUUAAAUAUUUAUGGAGAAGAGGAGAAAAGGAAACCACGCAAGACUGGAAACAGUGUCUGAUAACAGGGCAGAGCUCCAGCCUGAAGCACAUGCGGCAGCUCCGAUAACACAUCUGUAUUUUUACACCAGAAGGGUGGAUGACAAGUGGAUUCAGUUCAAAUGGUGCUAUCACUGAAAUGUCAGUACUGUAUGUGAACCCAAAACAUAGGUACUGCAGAGGAGCAGAUGGGCCACUGGGAAUUAAAUCUGUGACAGUAUGAGAAACAGCUAACAGGACCUGGGCUGGACUUCCUGAGUGGAGAUGAAUCAUUACACAGAUGCGAACCUGCUGGAAGAACCUGUUCUGAUGAUCUAAUUUCACUCACUAUUAAAUUCAAGAUGUUCCUGUGACAGCUACUCGUGUGUAAAAAUACCCUGCAGAGGAGGACAGCGGGGAGGAGGAAAUAAAUGAACAGUAAUGUGAAUAACACCCCAUUGGAAACAACGUGCUACUUCUCACGUCCAGGGCAAGAAAGAUCCGUGCUCCUUAAUGGUGUGCACAGCCCAGUUACUUACAGCUGCCGCAGGCUCUUCAUCUUAGCAAAAGCAUCUGCUUGGAUUGAGCGGAUGGCGUUAUCCCCAAGGUUCCUGCAGAACACAACCAAGGGCAAUGUGAACAAUAGGGACAUUAUGGCUGUGACAAAAUCUCCCCAUACCCAAGCACUGACUCUAGUAGCAAGUGAGAUUUUAGCUCCUGGGGGAGACUGGUGAAGACACUUGCAGCUUGGAAAUAGGUUUCAAAACACGUUCAUAUUGAACAGGUAACACCAAGCAAUAGUAAAUGAGCAAAACGCUCAGGAAUUAAUCACUAAGUCGGUCCAUACCCCACUUUCUCACUACACUUUCUCACUCUCAGACACUUCCAUCAUCCACAGCUCAGAAAUUCCUCAGCCCUCUCAAUAACCAAAGACAGUGAGGAAUGUUGUGUCCCAGGCCAGCCCUUCAACAAACGUGCAGAAAGCCAAUAUUGCACCGAACGGCGUCUCACAAAGUCACUUUGAGAGGAUACACAGCAAUGUUUCCAAAAGAAUGUAUUCUUAAAAGCUUCCCUCUCAACUAUUGCUAACUAAAAAAUUCACUUGUCCUCUGAAAAGGACAGAGUCAGAUUUCGGGCUUACAUUUAAUAAGUCAAGUGCAAGAUAGACCAUUGCCAGCUCUGCUUGCAGAGGAACUCUCCGUACAGCAUUAAUAAGGGACCCUUUAGCAGGGAAGGUACCCCGAGUCAGGCAGUCACUACAUUCUCAGUGCUCACCACAUUUUUUAAUGAUCAGCAGUCAAAGAAACCCUGACAGCAAAGUCACAGAUACUUUAAGGUGUCUUAAUUCAGAAAGGAAGCUAUCCAUGAGUCACUGCUGGAGUCAUCAGCCUUGGAACACAGGAAAAAAUUACACAGUGGCAGCCAAAAUCUGCUUCUUGCAAAUCACUCUAAGGCAGUUGUGCUGAAUGGUGAUGUGCAAUGCCUGUAUCAUGAGCAGUCAUUUGCAACACGUGUCAUUGCCUAGAUUUAGGAAGAAGUCAGGGCAAGGGAGGAAGAGAGCGAGCUCCAUCUGAAAUAGCACAUUUUCAUUGCCAACGGCCUUCAGAAUAGCAGUGUGCAAAGUCAAGGCGGAUUCAUCCAAGAACAAACCAAAAAAUUAAGAGCAUGCAGAUUUGCCAUAUGUUCUAUAACUUUGUUCUGGCACAAAAAAAGGCCAAAGUUGAGGCAGACUUAUAAUGAGAAGGAAGCAGGUGGCCCCCACAAAUGGACUGGCUUCUCAGUUUACAAAGACACUAUUAAAUUGCUAGCAGAUCUCUCAGGCAGCAACUUUUGGCAGACCCCCCUUCCCAAACUGCGAGGCAUGGUGGGUUACUCACAGGUGCUCCAGGGCCUCCAACCCUGAGAACGCUUUCUUGGCCACCGACUUGAUCUUGUUUCCAAACAGAGUUCUGCAGUUUCCAAACAUCCAGUGCCAGAUAAACAGAAAGAAAAUGGGGAGAGGGAGGCAGAAAAAGAAGGAACACAAUUAGCGUGGCUUUAUCUGAUAUACACACUCAGUGCAAGUCCCGGGAAAUCUGAACUGCAUGGAUAUUAGGAGGGCUGAAGUACAUUCGCUUUCCCACUCCUGAAAUUAAAUCCUUUUAUCUGUGUUUGAAUUUAAUAGUGAUGACAGCACAAAAGGGAAUGUGCCAUAUCAUGUAAAGAGGCAGGUUUCCUCCAGUGCCUGGAAACCAGCUUGCUGAGUAACAGAAAGUCCCCUCUAUUCUUUGAAGGCUGGCUUCGGACAGGAUUAAGUGCAACAACAGUUUAACAAGACUUCGGUCUCUUCCUGAAACACUUUUCAUUUCUGACUUCUUCCCACGUAGUAAAAGAGUGGCAAUCUCUCCCCUGUUGCUUGGCCUGCCUGGCCAUCCAAACACAAGGGCUGGGGCUGUGUGCACGCAGUGCCCAACAACGUGAGUGCAGACCUCCCUCCUUGGCCUCUUGUAAAUACAACAGCAGAGCAGAAUAAUACAGUAAAUGACAGCAGAGAGGUAAUUUCAGGGGCCAAAAGGGGAGAAAAGGUAAUGUGCAGAGAGACCUAAACAAGGAGCACGCUUGCCUGUAUCUGUGGCCACAGACCAUUCCUGCCCACCAGCAAGAGAGGGAUCAUCAGCAGGCAAGAGCCAGCUGAGUGCUCACAGCCCAGCUGGUGUCCACAGGCCUCUAUGAAUAUUGAGCAGCGGUGGCUGGUCAGGGUUCAUACAAAAUGGAUGAUCUCCUUGACUGUUUUACAGCAACAUCAGCCAGUGUCAUUAAUUAGGAAAUUCUUUCCUUCCCCAGGCUCUCUCUGUGUGAGGUUUAUCUGCCAGGUGCAUCUGUUUAUCACCCCUUGCUUCACGUGGCUUCCGAUGCAAGUCAUUACUAACAGACCCAGUACACAGCCUGGCACAUCAGGCGCUGCUUUUGACUUUUCCUUCAAGAUUUUUCGUUCAAAUAUAGGGUGCAACGCAUCUGCUAAUAACACUACGGUCAUGGCACUGCUUGCUAGCAGAUCAAGAUACAAAGAUCAGUGCAUCAGAAGUCCUAUUUACUGCAAGAGAACUGCUCUGUGUUCUGGCUGAAAUACCCCAAGCACCAAAAGAUGUGUGCAGUAAUGGGUACCAUAAUUUGGUAAAAGGUAUCUUGUAUUAAUGAGGGCUUUGGAAACUCCAUUAGCAUGAUUAAUACAGUAAAUAAUUUACUGUAUGCAAACUUUGGCCAUACGGCUACAUCCAUACGCAGUAAUUUUUGGAGCCAUAAUCCUAAAUGAGUGCUAUGCUGAGCUUGGAUUUGAUAACUGGAGAUUUGUGUUUACUGUUUCCAGUAGAUCUGAAAUCACAGAAUCACAGAAUGGCCUGGGUUGGACGGGACCCCAAGGAUCACCCGACUCCAACCCCCCACCACAGGCAGGGCCACCAACCUCCAGAUGUGGUACUAGACCAGGCUGCCCAGGGCCCCAGCUUUGAAAACUGAAGAUGAUGAUUUUCUCAACGUCUCUGUCUGUGCAGGGGUAAGCAGGAAGCCUGGAGCUCUGAAUACCUGCAAGCCACCUGCAAACAACUUUAUGGUUGUAUUUGCAAGAAAGCCGUACCAUACUGGCAAUAACAACCAUGCCCCAGAAAACUCAUUUCUGCCUUUCAGAUCUCAAACAGCCACUUCUCCGACCCCAAAGUGGUUCAAACCCAGCAGCCCCUUCCAAGGCACGCAGCAUUGCUGCUUGUCUGCCUGCUGCAGUCCCCAGCCGUGCUGCUGUGAGCGGAGCUGGGCGCGACCGCGCUCUCCCAGUGAUUGCAUCAGUGUAAUUAGACGCCAGGCACGCAAUUCAUUAGAAAGCAGCAUUUUCUCCUCCAGCCAGUUUUGCACCUGCAGGAAGAUCUCAGUCACUGAGUGAGCCAUCAAAAAAACCGGUUACAUUGAGCAGCUUGAAUAAUUAGGAGAACCGGUUGCUCCCCAGCGAUUCCACUGAUGCUUUUCAUGCUUCGGUGCUUCUCGACUCCCUUUCUUGAAGAAACAUUUUAAUUUAGGCCUGUGCUCACCAUCCUGGACAGCUUCAUAUAUAAUUCAGGGGAGGCUAAAGCGACUGGCCCCCCACCUCUCAGUUUAACACCUUCAUUUCAGCGAACAGCCCUCUCCCCGCUAAAUCCUUUCAGAGGCUAAGCUGUGCCAGAUCAAAGGGGAGCAGCUUUUAAGGCAAUCUCCACAGAGCCGAGGUGAUUAUUAAUUCAUUGGAAGGUCUCCUCUGAAGUGCCCAUUUAUUUUUUGUAUGCUAAUGCAUUUAAAGCCUAUUGACGGUUUAAAUACAGGCCUUAAAUCAGGCAGUGAGAUGUUCUCUGUAGAGGCUGCUGUUUUACUUUAUUUAAGUACCAGCAAGAAUAACACUCAGUUCAGCCUUAGAUGAAAUUACGAGUUUGGGAUUUAAGUGCUGAUGAGCUAAAGUGGACCUGAGCACGCUGCUUUGAACGUGCACGCUCCCUAGUGUGCCCAGAAUGCUCUAGAAUGAAAUAAUCUCAUACUCAGGGUUUUUUUCUGGCCUUACAGUCUGACUGACAUGAAAUGAUCCCAGCAAAGGUACAGCCAGCUGCUUCUCUGCUCUGUGGCAGGUUUGCUGUUGUGUAACCAAACCUCUCCUGUGCCAGAGACCAACCUGGUCUGUGCACUGUGCCAGGCCAUGGAGUUUGCUGCAAACUCAGCCUUCUUUACACUCACUCAAGCCCCUGCCACAUACAGAACAGCAGACAGAAAUGGCCACCUUUUGGAGCUGCUGCCUGUGCCCAAUGCUGGGCUGUUCCACCAGCAGCGACAGGGCUCUGCCCAGAGCUCCAAGCACACAGCCCGCACAGCCCCACAGGCUUUUUGCUCCAUCCUGCACCUUCUGGCCUCUGCCUGACCCCCACAGCUCACCAGUGCUCAUUCCUCCUGGUCACUGAGUCAAUCCUUCUGAACUCUUUCCCCCGGUGCUCUCCCCUCUGGCUGUUCCACUUCUCUGCUGCUGUUCGCACCCAGCACUUCUAACACACUCAGGUAUGCAGGAGCACUACUCCUACUCUCAUGACAGCGGCCACAUGGGAGCGAUGCCCUGUGGUGAUGUCCCAGCAGGACAGUGACCUCUCCUCUCUCGUGUCAGAGUAGAACUCCUUUCAGACUCAGAGCACUGCAGCCUGUAAGUCCCUCUGGACAAAGCCUCAGCUCGCACUGCCCCUCUGACCACUCCCAUGUGCUCACUGUUUUCAUCAGAUAAAUCGAAGCACUCCAAUAGCAUCAGCCAAGGACUCUGCCACCCACCACAUCUGCCACCUCUGCUUUUUUUUUUUUAUUAGCAACUUGAGGGAAGAUUUCCCAACUCACACACAGAAAUUCCUACCGGCUUCUCUCUCUCCCACACAUCUUCUGCCCCUCUGCCUGCCCUCAAAACCAUGUCUGCCUUCUGCCUCACUUGACUUGUAGCUGUAACUUGUUUCCCCUCUCCUUCAACCCAGCGACUCCCCUCAACAACGAUCCAUCGCCAUCUAUGUCUGCGACUUGAAUGUUUUCUCCUCCAUCUAAGCAUUACGGCCCCACCAGUCCUGCACAGCUCCCACUCCCCCAGGAGUCUCUAAUGAGAACACGACAAUAUACCGCCCGCCAGGGUUCAUUCUGGCCAUCUGCUAUCCAUCGAGGUACUUUUACUGCACCUCUAGCUGUGCCAUCCCAGCAUCAGAGACAGCGUGAUGGGAGGGUGCUGAGAACUUAAACAAAGGCAAGAGGUAAUGAUUAGAAAGACUCUUGGUUUGUCACAAGCCAUCAGAGACUUCCCUGACAGGGCUGAUUUAUAUAACUGAUUUCAAAUGGAAUACGAACAAGCACAGACAGAGCAAUGUGAAAAUACUUGUGAAGGCCAAGCAAGCAAUAAACAUUUGCAAGGCGCAUGCUUGCCUUAGGUUUCUUUUUAUCUCUUUAAGAGCCUAUGCCCCAUGGUGCCUUUUAUUGUCGCUGCACAUGGAAGCAAGCCCAAAAGAUCACUCUCAGACAGAGUAUCCCACAGAAAUGAAUCCUGCCUCAAUCCUCUGCUCUAACAGGAAAUGGUAUGAUUUUUCUGUUUAUUGUUAUUCACUCCAUCAAUCGGCGGUUUGCUGAAGUUUGCAAGGGGGCUUUGGUUGCUGUUUGAUUUUGAAAGCAAAGAACAGUUGUGCUCAAUCUUAGAGCUGAAAACAACCUAAGUCUGAACUUUGGUGUAUGACACACAGUAAGCAAUCAUCUGUGCUUUAAAAGGCCCAGAAUUGCCUCCUAUCUGCAGAACUACCUUGCCUCAGAUGUUCUGUGGAUUUCUAUCUUGUUCCAAGGGAAGGAAAACAGCAUCAGAGAGGAGAGCGAUCCACCCCCCGAGGCACACAGCACAAAUGUUUUGCAGAACUUCAAACCAGGGAUACUCACAGCUUGCUUAGAUUUUCUAGGCCUGUAAAGGCUCCGUUGGUGUCUUCUAUUGUGCCUGAGAUGUCAUUGUGGUCCAGUUCCCUGGGGAGAGGACAAGAGAAAGCUCAUAAUCAGUGUCUAAGUCCUAGGGUCAUCACUGAAAACAAACAUAAGAAAGUCUGAGAAUGGCAAACAAAGAGCUUCCCACUUUGUCAUAACAGUUAUCAAAACUAGUUAAGUCCUGCAGCAAAGCCACACUAAUCACUUUUCAACACUACAGAGUUUUUCCCUGGCUGAACCCCCCCGGUUCUGAGGCAGUAAGCUACUUUUGAAACACGUGGGGUGUCCUCUUCUAAUUUUGUUUAUCCAAACGGAAAAACAAACAAAAAACAUACAGUCCCAAAAGUAAACGGAAAGAACUAAAGGGAACUGGUAGAUGAGAUGAGGCAGGGAAUCCCCUCCGUCUGCACCUAAGUCUCUGAUGGUGAAAUUUCACCGCAUUUGGAUGGUGCCCACUGAAGGCAAAGGAAAGUACUGCUCCCCUUUCUCUCUCAAUUUAAAUUCCGCCAGGACAGAGGGUGUAUUAAAUCUGAACAGCCAAGGUUUAACAGCUGUCCUUAAGUACUGCUAUCACGACUUCAGAUAACUGCCUGUUCCUAUGUCUACAUGAGUUUGCCUACAGCUUUAUCUUAGGAAGACGAUGGUGUAUUUUCUACAAAGCUGCAUUUUUUUCUGGCAAUGAACUUGAAAGUUCAACAAAGGAAAGCACUAUCAUCAUUGCGCAACCAAACUCUGUAUAACCAUUAAAAAGGAGAAGUUAGAAUUCCUUUUCCAGAGUUAGCUUCUUUUGGCUUUCAAAUUCGCCAUCAAUUAUGAGAGUCAAAGGGGUCUGAAGAAAAACAAGCAGACAGAACAAACAGAAAGAUCCACAAAAGCUGUUCAAACAGUCUGUUUAAAAAUCCUUCCCUCCGGUGCUUCAAUUCCAGCUAGCACUGAAUACCCAGCAACACAGACACAAAUUUAUCAUUUCUAAUGUUAAGUAAAAAGAAAGAAAAAAUAAAUAAGCUCUGUUGGUUUUGUGACAUCACUCCGAUUUAAAACCUAGCAAAAACCAACAACAAAGCCAACUAAAUCAUCCAGAUAACCCCUUGAACCCUCAGGUACUCUUUUCGCACCUUUUGAAGACUAUUAUCAGAUCAAUCUCAGUUUAAAUAUAUCAAAACCAAGAAAGAAAAACGUUUCUGAAACAAAGCCCUCUGCAUUCUUUCAAAUGCCAGGCACAGGCAUCACAGCGUAACUCCGGGGCUGUAAGGCACACAAUAACGUACAAGGGAACCACAAUAAUAAUUGCAGGGUUUGAAUAUUCACGCGGGACGGGGCUGAGAUCGCUGUGUGCAGUACCUAAGCUGGCUGCAGUCCUUCUCGGCUUCGGUGUGUGAAUUAACAACGUGGAAGGAGAUGGCCCAAAGCCACAAUUCCUCUUUCUCAGCUGCUUUCAGCGUGAGAGCCGAACGCCCAUCCCUGGGGAACGCUGCCCUCCGCCAGCAUUACUGAGGAUGUCAGAGUGAUCUGUGGGCACACCGAUGCCAAAGGGAUGGAUAAAAACCCAACACCUCGGUGGGGUACGGACAGUUGCAGGAGAGAUGCUUUGAUGUGCUGACAGUUUCCGUGCUAUCUGAGUGGGACGAGGCAAAUAGCUCCUCCUGGAGCUAUAGUUUCUACAAUUCCCCUCUGCUUGCCAGGCCAAUGCCAGCUGUUCUGUUUGUCUGGUUUUUAAAGGCAAAUCCCUUCUCCCGUUCAGAUCCACCACUGGCUUCUGGUCUUUGGACCGGCAAACCUUUUCCCAUGGCAAAGACAGCCCGGUGGGAAUGGCCCACAGGAACCCUCUGACAUGCACUUUUAUUAAUUGACUGCCACGCAUUGUGUCUCCUUGAAAAAGGAAAAAGAAAAUGGUAUUGCUUGUUCAUCCAGAGACAACUCAAAGGUUUCGUGUUAGAAAGGAGGAAAAAACCCUUCUCAACAAAUGGGUGAAAAUAAAGAAAAAAAAGAAAGAGUGGGGUACUUUGGCCCUGCUCUCUUUGUAUUCCAACUCCUCUCCCAGCCCCUGUUGCCAAUUUCCUAUUCUUUCUGGCUGGCUGAGCUUGAAUGCUAGCAGCCUUGUUAAUCAUUGUGCUGCAAGGUCUCUGGGCCUGACCUCUAUUUGAAUAGCUCCACAUUUCAGCAGUUUCACACCCACCAAAGGCUCCCCAACAAUGGGCCAUAAUUAAAGCAUGCUCGGGUCUUUUUCACCAGGUGCAGGACCCAAUAGGCCUUUCUCUUUAUUAAAUUAGAGCUCACUCACACACUCCCUCUCCUCCUCCCCCCUCGGUCCUAAACAUAAAAGAGGCUCCACAUUCACUGCAGAGCAAAGAGAAGGCCAGCUCCCCUUCCCUCCAUUUCUCUUUGGAAACCUUUAGUUCCGGUCCUGACAGCUGCCUCAAAGAAGGCCCUUUCUGAAUGCCCACUGGCUGAAAGGCUUUCGUUUAAGUUAAAAAAAGAAAAAAGAAAAAAAAAAAAUCAAACAAAACCCAAACUCACUUUCCUGUCUCUUCCUCCACUGUGAACUUCAAUAAAGGAGAGAGAUGCAGAAAGUACUGUAAAGAGGGAAGAGAUCUCUGUUCCCAUUUCCUUUUAAUUACUCAGACCAUAAUGGAUUGCUGGAGGAAUGAAGUAUCAAAGAAUGAAGUCAGCCUGCUGAACACAAGUGGCCUGGAGGCUCAGCUGUGUGUCUGUACCCUCAGCAGCUUCCUGCUGCCACGGUUGAGCUCUACACUGGGGUGAAGCUUCAAGUGCUGUUAAACUCCUGGUAUCAGGAAGUAUAAGCAGAUCCCAACCUCUGGAUUUGCUUUGCCACUGCUUUUUCCUUCUCAACGCCAUCUUUACCAAGAUGUAGCAGCAAAAAUACUUCACAGCUUCAUAUAUAUAUGUAUAUGCUUCACAAUUACAGGUGAUAUUCAAAUUUUCAACAUUGUCACUGGAAGGAAUUAUUCUUCACGGAUUCGGAGCAUAGAGUGAGCCAACAAAAACAGUCCUUUUCUACGAACUUCAACUGAAGUCAGUAUGAUAGCAAGAGAAUUCUGCUGUUAGCUGAACUAAAACAUUAGGAAUUUUUGCUUAGCUGAGCUACAUUCAGGAUCCUGUCCCAUGUUCCUUUAACUUUAUUUUGGGGCCCUCUACUCUGAAAGCACUCUGUAACACUGAGCAGUCCAGUUGCAAUUCUCCUAACUACACUAAAAACUGUGAGUUCACUGAACUUGACUAAUGGGGUAAACACAAGAGAGCAGCACGCAGGGGAGUUUGCAGCUGAGGAUGCAGAAGCCCAGAGAAACUGCAAAGGAGAACAGUUUGGCAGAACACAACCUGAGGAGGGAAGGUAGGUGUUGUGUUAUCUAAUAAGCUAGGAGCAACUUACAGGACACGCAGGUUUUUGAGUCCCUUGAAGGCACCUUCUGCAAUAUGAUUGAUGGAAUUGUGGCUCAGCCGUAGUACAUGCAGUCCUCCAAGGUCUGCCAAGCUUCCCUCAUCCAGCCUGGUGAGGUUGUUGUAAGAGAGUAUUCUGAGGAGAAAAACAACAGCCCUUGUCAUCCAACCAGUCUGUUCCAAACUCCUCUGCACCAGCCAGUGCCUGCCUCCCAUCCCACAACAAUCUCACAAGAGGCAGCGUAUACUGGGUGGAUACAUAACAGCUUGAUUAGGAAAUAGCACUGCAGCCUGCAAAUAUUCCCAAACGAUACCAUGGGGCAGCAGGCAUUUGGCACCCAUCAAUGGGGAAGUCUUUUCAGCAUGAGAGAGACUCCUCCAGAAAUGAAUCAAAGCAAUAACCCAAUACAGAUGCUGUCAGUUAUGUGGGGAAGAAGCUACUCUUUCUCUAUGGACUGUGUCUCCAAGUUAGGGCCUGGGAGCACCAUACACACCGCCCCCAAAAUGUUCAGGAAAAGUUCAAUUCUUUAACACUUGGAUAUCAGCAAGAGCUAUCAGUCCUGGUUGUGUUCAGCCCUCAUUCUGUUUGGAUAUCUUCUGAGGACAAAGCAGCCCCCUUCCUUACACCCUGCAAGGUGGAGAGUGAUGCCAAACAGAAGGAUUUGGAAGUUCACACGUGCUCCUGGCAGUGUCCAGACUCCAGUAUUCAGGAGGUGCCUUAUCGUUCUACACUUGUGCACAGCAAGCCCCAGGCACCUGGGUGUAGGUGUCUCCACAGCCCACUCCACCCCAGUCUAGAGCCAAAAGCAUUUCACCACAAGGCAAUUGAAUGCUUCCUUUCAUGCACAGGAAGGAGGUUAUCUGCUACAGACCAGCUGCCUUCUCUCCCGCUCCCCUCUGUCAAGGAGCAUAGAGUCUCUGUGAAAUCAUCUCCACUUACAAGUGACUAACAUUGGAGGGCUGCUUUUUUUUAUUCCUCGUUUCCCCAUUGGUUUUAUUCUUUCAUUCUGCAUUCAGAUGCAUCCUGCUACUCACACUUUCCCAAGCUUCUCUCUCUACAAAGUGCAAUUGCAUAGGAUUUUAGAAAAUACCUUAGUGCCUUGGGAGCACAAGUGCCUCUGGAAACUGUGAGGCUUUGGACUGCUAACUUUGCAAAAAAGUGGAGUGCUGCUUUGUACAAGAACUGAAAUCCUUCACUCUACAGGCAAAAAAAACCCCACUGCACUGAGUUCCAAACCUCCAGAUUCCUUUUCCAGUCCUUCCUGUUAAUGAGUCUGCUUCGAAAACGUGUCUAAGGCUUGCAAAAACAUCACUGAAAAGCCAAAACCUAAGUCAAAAAAGGGCACAAGUUCUGAAGCACUGAGAGUGCCAUUUACUUGGCCAAUGAGCUGUCUAUCUCUUAGCUGUGUGAGCGGACAGAGGGCAAGCUUUGGAAAAAAUUCAGUGAAGAUUAAUGAGUUUGAAGAAGGUAUGGGACAACAUUCCUGAAGAAGUUGUAGUGUUAGUUAUGAACAACUGGCAUCUGGUCAAAAUUAUGUCCUCACCUGCGAUUAAAGAAUUUGGCUUAAAAAAAAAAAAAAAAAAAAAAAAGGGUUCAAAAGUAAUUCUAAACCUGGCUGAGGAAGAAAAUAUUUCCUUUUGAUUCUACACAGAAGGGUUCCUGCUGCAACUGGUGAAAGCAUGUUCCCAUCCGUUCCUCCUGACGUCACCUCAAGACGGAUGGGCAGCAGCAGGCGGCAGGGUCUCUCAAUGGCUGCAGCCAGAUGGAAGGUUUCAGGAGUGAACGCACCUGCUGGUGGCCUCCUUCAACACAUAAGGCCUCUGCUUCCUCAGUGGGAAAGGCCAAUUUGUAAAAAAAAAGUGUGCUUCCCUCCUUGGUGGUUUGGAUGAUCUGGGGUGGGAGAAGUCAGCAGGUCCCCACUGCUGCCCCUUCUCAUCUCCCUGCCGGUGGGAAAUCACCAGAACAAACAAAUGGAAAUGGUUUGCCCACACAGCCCUUUUGGCCUGGCACAGAAGUGGGAGAGCGGCUCAAAAAGCAGCAUGCUAAAGAGAUGCACAAAGCAGUUAACCAGAAACGUAUUGUGCAGCUGCAGCUCCUGCUGCCAGCCAGUUCUGGACCAGGAUAUCUAACUCAUGUCAUUCCCACUGAUGGAACAAUAGGUAAGAAGUGAGACUUCUUCAUCUUUCUGAAGAAAAAGACCCAGAAGCCAAUUCAUCAUUUACAUCUGAUGAAAUCGUAUGUUCCCACAGUGGAUUUUUCCAUUAUAUUGAUGCCUUAGCACCUGACUGGUGAAUACAAUCAGCCCUAUCUCACGCCCACAGGAAGGCAAGUGCUCUCCUUUCUUUGUAGUUUUUACAUGAAAUCAGAGUCUUGAAGUCACAUUUUUUCCCAACAGCUGAAGGACAGACUUCAGGUGAACUUCCUUCAGGUGAACUCCUCUUCCCUCACCAUGUGUAAGCAGAGGUCUGGCCAACUCUCUUUUUUUUGCAGUCAAGGACUUUGAGAUUAAUUCCCUGUGCAACCACAAGCAGUAUUUGCUGAAAACUGAAACCCAGUAGAUUUAGCAAUAGGGGAACAAGGAUCUUUUAAUAAGAAUGUAACAUACACAUUCGAAGAAGCACAAGGAGACAGCUUAGGUGUAUCUCCUGCUUCCUUUCUUCACUCUUCAAUUUCAGAGCAGACCUCUCCUACAAGUACUCUUUUGCUGUGGGAGUUUCAGUUAUGAGUAUCUGAUGGCUCUCUGCAGCAGCCUUACCCUAAAGGCAACACCUGCAACAGCCUGUAAUAUUUUGCAGAGAUGUGUGCUAACACCCACAUAAUCGCCUUUCCAAUCUCAGCUAACAUUGUCAUCUCUGGCCUCACACUAGUGCAGUCCUGCCUGUCGGGCCAAGCAUGCCUCAGUGCCUCCUACCACCUCCACCAGGCCUUUCCCAGAUGUGCUCCUUUCUGCACCAGAGCAACUGAGGCCUUCCUGCACAGCAGGUUCCACAUUACUGAAAAAGAGAGCCCCUAAGCCAGAACAGCUCACCACUGUUUCUAGGAGAUCCUAAUCCGUACUGGAGAUAUAAUGAUCCAGCACCAUGUGCAACUUCUCAGCUAAACCUGAAGGGUUUGCAAAGACAAUGUGAGCUAGAAGAGACAAGCAUGUUUCUUCCUAAAGGAGCUCUGCAAGACACGGAUGGGAUUUACCCAUCCCACUGGAACUCAUGUUGAAAUAGAGCUUCAACACAGCUGCUGGAUAUUGGAUCUCUGAGAGCAAAAAACUCCCAGAGCUCCAUUACUACAGCAGUGCAGUGAUCCAAAUUUGGCUGUUUCAAAUUUGGAGUCCAAAUUUGACUCCCCUUUUCUGAUGCUUCAGAUUUAAGCAGGUCAUGGGCAGAGCACAGUUCUGUUUCUGAUCCACUGCCUUGAAGAUUUCUGCACUGGCGCUACCUUAACCUAGUGAAAUAUCAGUUGCUGAUCUGCACGUGAAGGAAAUAUAGCUGUCUACAGCACCAGGCCAAGCAAAAGAACCCUUCAGGCAUGGACAAUUUCACAACAGUUUGGAAAAUUAGUUAAUUAAACAAUCACAUAUGUAUUCAACUAACAACAAAAAUAUUUCCCUGCCAAAAGAAAAAUCCACAUCUGAAUGAAUAACUUGGGUUUAACAGAAUAUCAUAGUUGGUCAGUGUGCAACAAUAUUUAUUCAAGAGCUUCUAAACUUAGUGGAACCACAUGUGUCAGGACCAGCUAACUUUGAAUCCAAAUCCAAAAGAUGAAGAACUCACAGCUGGAUAGGCAGAUAGAGACCUCUAGUCUGAGUCCUGAGCAAGCCACUGAAAACAGCAAGCUCUGUGCUCUUUGGUGGAGAAGAAUCCCUAACGAUAUUUAACAAGAGAUUUCCGAGCAUCAAGCAGAAUGAAUUACAGUUCCACUAACCACAUGUGUCAAAUCCUCCAGAGAAAAAAGUGAAUCUAUCCAAAGUCCCACCGAGGGGAUGACAGCUACUUCUGUAAAUACUGCAAGCAUCCAUGUGUGUCUCUUCAAAAAGGCAUUAAGCAGUGCCACAGACCCCAGAGACACCCUUUGUGGGGCUUUCCGCAACAGCAAGGGUUUCUUUCAUUUAUCAAAGAGACCAUAUUCACAGCUGGAAAUCUCAGGAGAGCAAAGCCAAAGCAUUUACUUCUCAACAACUGAAUCCGACAGGAAGGAUGAAGUGUAAAUAGGAGAAAGAAGGAGAACUGCCUUUAAAGAGCCAAAUCUCUGCUAGCUAAAAACAAGAUUGUUCUUUGUAAAUAUAGAGGACAAAGCAAAACUUCCUUCAGGCUGCACAGUCACACAACAAGCAGCAUAUGUCUCCUAACUAGAUAGAUAAAAAGCCCUGGUAAGCCACAGGUCACAAACUCUCCAGGUUUCUCGGCACUGCAUACUUUCAGUCAAUUCUAACCUUCGUUUCUGGUGCAGAUGUACUUUAAACAGGUGCUGUGAAGGUCAUAACUUCAUGAAUAACAAGGGCAUCACUUAGAGGCCGCAGUUCCUGCAUUUCUACAUGUUUAUACAGUGGAAGCUGUGGAGUCCUUACUCCCCUUGCCUGCCAGCAUUACAUUAGCAUAAAAUUCUGACUGAACAACCACAAUGGGAAACAACUUACAGCUCAUGCAGCUUCUGACAGAAGCUCCAGCCAUCAGGGUUGAUGCGAGAUAUGGAGUUGUUACUGAGGUGAAGCUGGUGGAGAGAUGAAAGGCCAUAGAGCGAGCCGCUGUUUACUUCUGUGAGGCUGUUAUAAUCCAGGUGCCUGUAGAAAAAAAUUGGAAGGAAUUGACAGAUGUGCAGCAUCUCCAACAAGUAUUGGUAUUUUAGCUAUUCCUGCAUACAUUUCUACAUACCUAUGCGGAUACACCCAAGUGUAGGCACUUCUUGUGCAAGUGAGGGACAGAAAUUCAAGGGAAAGGUGUAAGGUCUUAACACUUAGCCCAAAGCCCUGUACCAUAUGCAGUCCCGCACAGCCUCUCAGUACAAAGGCAGAACACUCUCUGCCACCAGCACACAGCCACAACCUGCCAAUCCAGUAUGUUCUGAGGGCUUAAAGCCCAGAAUGAGGUGUGACUGCAGAGGUACGCUCCACUGCAUGUAAAUUGGGCUAAGCAUCCCAUUCAAGUUUGUAUUUGCAGAGUCUCAGUUGUGUGACAGCAGCUUCCAGAAACAUAAUGCCUUGAUCACUUGUGACUUUGCAAACACUUGAAAGCCAAUCACAUUGCAAGUUUGGAGCAUUUCUCUGCAAUGACUGUUCUAUUUGCUCUCGCCUAUGGAAAGAACGCAUCACUGAGAUUAAACCAGCUCAGUUUCUAGGUUUCCCCAGAGGCAGAAUAAUCAGGUCUGCAACACAUAGUUUCCAUGUAUCAGUUGAAAGAAAUGUACAGGAGCCAGAUGAACUUUUUUUCAAAGCCCAACUGAGAACUUAUUGAUUGUUCAAAUUGGUAAAUUUACAAAGGAAUACUGCCACAGCUUGAAAGACAGGAUUUUUUAUUGAACACCUAGCAGAGCAAUGAGUUGACAGUGAGUCAAACAAAGGCUGCUGCAGCACUGCAGAGAUCUGUGCAUGCAGGACACAAAAAGAAACAUGAAGAUUGGCACCAGUGCCCACAGGUCUCCGCUAAAUAGAGGCGCACGUUAACAGGUGAAGUCUAGGCUGUUUGAGAGAAAAGAAUGAAGCUUUCCAACUUACAGAACUUGCAUCUUGGCCAGCCCCCAGAAAGCUCCAUCAGUCAGCUUGCUGAUGUUGUUGCGUUGGAGUUUCAGGACUUCCAGGCUGUCCAGUCCCUGGAACGUCAGGCCUUCAAUCAGGCGGAUGCGAUUCCGGUUCAGCUCCCUAAAAUUGCCAAAGCCAUACAAGUAUAUUAAAUCCCAGUCCUUUCUCACAAAAUCAUCUGUGCAGCAUACAAUGGGGACAGCAAUGCCAACAACUCCUCCAUCAACAGUUCCCAGGAGAGAGCAAAGCACACCGGAAACUUUCAAUCCCAGAGCUAGCCUGGGAAGUCAGCUGGGUGUCAUCUGUUAAACAAACUCACCCUGGGACAGACUUUCACUACAGAGAAAUAACAGAGACAGGGCUGCAAUUCCUCUUCAACCCUCUUUUCUCUGAAUAUCUUUUAAGCCAUUUAUCCUUUUCACCAAUUUUCACACCAUUCGAAUGAACACAAUGAAACAUCAGCAUUUUCUUCCUUACAAUCCAGGGUUUUGCAGGACUUUUUAAUGGCCCUGUAAAAACCUGUCGCUCUGAAACAAAUGGGUGCUGUACGAAGCCCAAGUGGAAGUUUUAUGGCAAAGUUAGAAAAGAAAGCUCUCAGUUCCUCUAAAAAAAUCCUGGGUUUUUUUUUCCCGUUAAAAGAAACUAAUAAAGACUGGAACAACUUGUUUCCAAUAAUAAGGCAGUCUUAGUAUUCCACCUAUACAAAAAUCUUCAACUUGCUUCAUUAAAUUUCCUUUUCUUUUUCUCCAUUGAGUGAAGGGGAAACUCUAAGUCUCGGGAAUACUUUCUUUUUCUUUAUCCCCAGAAUAAUGAUAUGAACAUCAUCACAGCACUCUUCACCAACCCACGUGGAAUAGCAUUGUAGGCUGUCAGACAUGCCAGGUGAAAUUCUAGUACCAUAACAUCAGUAAAGAACUUCACCGACACAAUGCACUGAAGACAAAGCUUCUCAAAUGGAACACCUUUUUGCACUUGAAAGAUUGAUCCAAGUGUGGCUUCCCUAUUCAGGGUUUGUGUUGAACAAAACGAUGAAGGUUACAACAUCAGAAAUUGUUUUGGAAAAAUGAGGAAGAUGGGAACUUAAAGCUUACUUUUUAACUGCAUUACAAUAACAAUGCCGAAGUUGUACUGAAGUUGAGAGUAAUUAAAGUCAAGUCAGUGACUAGGAAGUUUUCAGUCAUAAGGACUGCUGCCUGAAUAUACUUCCUAGACUAUUACUGAACUAUGCUUGGCCAAAAAAAGAAAUGUACGCAACAGAUUCUACAACACAUCCAGUCUGUAUAAAUUGCUAUUAAUUCCUGUUUAUCUAUAGGGUAAACAACCAGCUGUGAGACUGUCUUAAGAGUCUAAGAAAACCAAUCACUCUGAAUUUCAGUGAAAACACAGACUGAGUUGACCUUCGGUUUAUUACACUUUUGCACACAGCGCAAACACGGCGUAUAGCAAGCUCUCAGCUAAAGGACAGCAACUUCCAACUGAGGCAACAGACUCUUAAGAUGCUGCUGUUCUACUCAAUCCCAAACUGACAGUGGAUCGUACACAUAUGCAAGCACAAAUGCACAUCCAUUCAUUAGGCACAUCUUAAGGAUCUGCCUCUCAGUCAAAAGGUUGCCGUGUAGAGGUGCGAGUUCCAACAGCCUUUGUGGAGUUUUUGUUAAUAGACAGAGGCUGAACUUUCACCUAUCCAAUGUGAUGGAAAAACUGCAUGAGGCCUCAGGCUGGGACCAUUCCUCCAGCAGAAAAAGCAAACGGGAAAAGUUCACCCAUUAGAGCUGCUAUUGGCCAUAAAGCAUAUUUAUAGCUGCAGAUGUCCAUGAGUCUCCAUGCAGCUCCUGCCAUGCAGACUGCAGGCAGGACAAUAACGAUGUGUGUGUUAACUCAUCUAGAGUGUUAUGUUCUCUGCCCAAAUACCACCACGCAGUUUAACAACCUCCCGUCACUGCUUUUUUAUUGCCACAUAAAGAUACCUGUGUGGUCUUGAAAACCUAACGUGGUGGCUGGAGCUCCGUCACAACGGACACAUCUUCCAAACCUCACUGGUGCCACAGUCACCAGCAGUUUUCAAGGGAAUGGAUUUGUUUUAUGCUAUCACUGCACAAGAUGCUGCUGCUCGCUGUAGCAUCCAUCCCUUCUCACUUGAUCAAAAGAAUGGCUUGAGAAUUCAGGAGUUAGAGGAAAAAAGGUGAGGAAGGUUGACAUUUGGUGCACAUAUCCCUGGGGACAUUUUGUCUCCAUAAAGAAGGGCCAAGCUUAAUUAAAGCACACGUUUCUACUCACAGUUGUGUCAGCCUGGGCAGCCUGAAUGCCUUGACAGGAAGCUGAGUGAUCCUGUUUUUACUCAGACGAAGUGUUAGCAGGGACCGUGACAGACUAUCAAAAGCACCAGGCUCCAGGGUGCUGAUUCUGUUGCUCCCCAGGUAGCUGCAAUAAAUCACAGCAGAAAAAUGAACAGGUCUGUCAGAAAUCUCCUUUUAUCGGCAUUUAGUUGCUCUCCAGACAGGCUGGUGGAAUUACAGAGUUGGUUUGGAUUUCUGGCUGCACAAGAAGCACAGUGCCUUUCCCAGAGCCAUACAACAAAGGUGGAGAUGCGCUGUGCGAUCUCCGAGACCUCCUCUAUACCCUCCCACUUCAGAAAGUUUGGAGCAGAAGGCAGAAACUAUAGAAUAUUGCAUUGCAAGAUGACGCCAUCCAUUCCCCAUCUCUUAAGACUCUUCCCUCAGUGGCUGUCCCAGGGCUCUUUCUUAUUUGGACCCUCCUCUUGGCCACAGAGGCUGUUCCUACAGGUCAAAAGACAAAUAUCGGGUGUAACACGUACCCUCUUCUAUCUUCUUACAGCCAGGGCAGAAACUUCUGUGCAAACUUUAAUGCAGACAGAUCUGUAUGCAGCUUUUUAGAAUAGGGAAGAAGCUCUGUAGGGAGGGCAUAAAUCUGCUUCACCCCUCGCUUACAUCAAAUAACUAAGGAAAGAUUUCUGUUCUUAACAUUCAGUAGCCACUUUAACUGUAAUGACAAAAUAAUCCUCCUUCCCUCCCCUCUUCCAGAUGCAAAUGGGCUGAUGUGGGAAGCAGCAGGACACUGGGGAAGAUAGAUACUGCUCUGCACAGUGGCUCUGGCUUCUAGGCCUUCAGCAAAAAGACACACCUGAUGGAUAUGCUGUAACUUUCCUUUGCUGCGAGAUUCCUAUGCAACACAAAUAGUAUUCUGUGUUCUUUACAGGUAUAUUAGAAAACAAAACCAAAAAGUCCAAUAAAUAACCUCACAGAGGGGACAAUCUGAUUCUCCUUUGCACUUAAAAAACUUACAAAUAACCCCAAGCUUCCUGUGUCGUUCCUCUCCCUAUUUUUAAAAGAAGUUUGAGGCCCUUUUCUCUGCUGUGGUAACUCAACAAAAGCCGUUCCCAACAAGAGAAACUCACAGCUCCUUUAUGUGAAGUCCCUGUGGAAAGCAGCCGUUUCGGAUUUCCGUGAUGUCAUUGAAACUCAGGUCCAACGUUUCCAGGGCAACGUAGGGCUUCAGUUGACUUGCUUCAAUGCUGCGGAUCCUGUUGUGAUGCCUGAAACGGUCAGAAGGAGAAAUGGAGACUAUUUAGUUCUCUUGGAUAAAUAAGAAUAUCUGAAGCUGCAGCAGGCCGGCAGGUCAGCUACUGAGCUCACAUACAGCAGUUGAAAGCACAUCUUCUACAUGUGUCAUAGAAGAAAUCCACACCAGAAAUAACUUCCCUAACCUCCACGUUGUUCCUACAACUAGAAAGAGUGGGGCACAUACAUUUGGAGGUUCCUGGACACUUUCUCUGUUACUGCCAGUGCUUUACACAGAGGAUGAGUUUUUCAGAGCUGUCUGCAGAGGAAACACAUAAAUACAAAGGAUCUCAGGAAAAGUUACAGAAUAUUGCUUCCCUAAUUCCUAAGGACCUUUCUGAAAACACUCAGCACUGAACUACAUUACAACGAUUUGCAGUACACAGAAAUGCUGUAUGAGGGCUUGUUCUUGCAAACAUUUCCUCAUCUUUCACUACCUUUGACCCAGUGCACCACCAGGGUGAGUGCAGCACCACGUGCUCAGCCCAGGCACUGACCAUGGAAGUAGACCCUGUAACAACCACCUGCAUUUGCUGCCUCAUCAGCAGCACUGAUUGAAGGAUUCCAUCUAACGCUUUUCUUUAGAGAAAGUACUGCAAGCUGUCCUCGCAAUCUCCACAGCCAUCAAACAGUUCAAUGCCUCUAGACUUCAUCUGGACUCAACAAGGCCUUGCAAAAAUCCCCUGUCCUUUCCUCUGGUUCCUUUCCGGUCUGAAUCAGUGGAGAGAACAGUAACCGAUUAAAAAAAAAAAAAGAAAUACAUGGUGCAUUAGUCACAAGGAGCAGAGUGCAUGCCUGAUGUGAAUUUAGACCAGUCAUUGAUAUUCCUGGCAAGGCCGAGAGCGAGGCACUCCAAACAGAGACUCUCAACAGACACUUGAGAACUUGCUGAAUAAUAAGAGAUAGCAGAGUGGGCUCUGACAAGUACCGUGGCUUGAUCGGGCUGCACAGCCAGCAGAGACAGCCGCCAGUGAACGCACUCCCGAAUGCACACCGGGAUGCCCCAGCUUUCCUGGCAAAGCAUCCCCUCCCUGAAAUCCACCCCUGCCCCGUGAACCUGGCAGAGUCUUUGAGGCACUGGGGAGCCGCUCUCCUCCUGCCUCAACCCUGCUCAGGCUGUCCCAUGUGCCAGCACAAGCCCCUUGCUAAGAGCCUCUCCCCCAGAAGGAAAUAGCCACAGCACAUGGCAAUGGACCUGCUUCCCAGAAACUCACAGAAACGCUGCUUUGAUUAAAAGGUUGAAAUGCCCCCUAGUUAAUGCAGUGCAGGCUCACAAAGUCAUUAAGGACAAAUUUUACACCGCUACGGCAAUGCUCUGCUAAUAUGGUGCAAAAAGGCCCCAGGAAAAUCAAAGAGAAGUCAUAACUUCUGUCCCCAAAUGGUUAACGCGUGGGUUACGGGCACACCAGCUGUAGAAAAGGCAGUGAUGUGGCUACUAUCCAAAUGACUGUAUUCCUUUACAGCGAGGAAGGAGGACUGAAUUUUCACAUCCACAGCACAUGGUGGAACAGAGCUCCAGUGAAUUUGUUAAGAGUAUGAUUAAAAUACAGGAAAACUCACUCGAUCCACAUUUUUGUGACCUCCAUAAACCAAACACGUGGGUAAGGGAGAUUUCCAUCAGGACUACUUUAUGUUGCGAGGCCUCAAUAAGCAAAAUGGGCAAGUUCAAAAAUUUCAAUCUUUUUUCCUCCCCAAAAUAAGGGUGCAAUAAAUGAGCGUGUGUGACCUGGUUCAGGGAAGUUCCUCAAAGCAGAGCUAAGUGAAAGCAAACCCCAAGCAUGCUCUCUGGAGUUCUGCUGAAGCAGUGGCUGCGAGUUCAACUCUGAUCUCAUCUGGGCUGUGAUGGCUGAGUUGAGUCUGGCUGUAAAUUAACAGGAAAUGAAGGCUUGUACAAAUGAACAUGAAGAAUCUAUAAAUUACCUGACAAUUCCUGCACGGGGCAGCUAAGUCUGUAAGGGAGUGAGAGCACCGAGUGAGUUUGGACGUGAAAUGCUCUUCAGAAGCCAAUGUUAUUUUUUUGGAGUAUUAAUAUUUCUGUGCUUUAGUUACUCAACAUAUAUCCAGUCUGCCUGCCAGAGCUCCCAGCCCUUCCCAAAGGACAAAGUUUCAGGAAGGAAGAAAAGGGCAGAAAAGAACUGUAUUCACUGAGAUAUGUUUGCAGUUUCCAGGUGCCUUCUGUCCAUUUGCAUCUUGCUUUUCUUGUGCUACAGCUGGCAGUUGAGAUGGAUGCGUUAUUUCAUGCAGGAAUAAACCAGCCUUCAUUCUCUGCCUCUCUCCAUCUCCUUCAAACAUGGGCUGGCUCCAAGCAGAACGCUCAGCUCCAAGCAGCAUCCCGGCCAGCCCCAGCUGGGCAAUGUCAGACAGUUUGCUGCAAAGCACUGCACUCUCUUCAAACAAAACCAGUCCCACUGACUUUUCCUAUACAAAGCAUGUGAUACAAAUGCAACAUCAGCCGAACCUUUUACUAGGCUGAUUACAUUUUUUGUUCUUUCAGGAAGAGCUAAAAGGUGAUUUAACCCUUCCUGUUGCUACUUGGUUUCUUUCAGUUCAUCUUCCCUUGUUCCCAAUCCCACCAUGAGGGUAUUUUAUAGAAAAAAGACAAGUAACAAAGCUAUGAUUGCUUCUCUCCUUUAGCACCAACUGGAAAAGGGCUAGGUCUGAACCAACUAGCUCCUUAGUUUACACUUCCAUGGCUUCAAAGGUGGCAGAUCAGAUUUUAGUACCAAUUGCUGAACCAGGCUUUAAAGCAGAAAUUACUGCUGCUUCCACAACCAAUUUGCCUCCAGGUGUCUUUUCCUCUCCCCCCUCCCCUUCUUCUUAGGUAUCACAGCCUGGAAACAAAUUUCCCUGCUUCUCUUUAGCCAGCAUUAGCUUCAGAGUGUAAGAUGACAAGGCUUCAAAGAGAGAUUGAGCAAUAAGAGCCAGGAGUAGGAGCCAAGGCUCUUAGUUUCUAUUCGAAGCUCUGGCACAGACUCAUCUGCCUUGGACAAGUUACUUAACCCCUCUCUGCCACUGGGUUAUCCAUCUGUACAGGAAUGCACAGGCAGACUAGGAUGCUGCAAGCUGCCCUGACUGAGAAAGGAUUUGGAGUAGAAGUAACUCAAGUGAAAAAUAAAUGCUAGGGAUUGAGGAGCCCACCUGGGUUUGCUCACGGAUGAGGGCAGCUCCAAUAAUAGCUGUAUUACACCCUCGCUCCUGGAGACAUCCCAUUUGCAGCUGAAGCAGAUGUUGGCACUGUACAAAGGUAACUUGAAAUCAGUGCUGGAUGGCUUGAGCACUGUAUGCAGCACUAGUUCCAGCUGCAAACAAAGGUGAGUGCAGGGAGCACCAACCCUCCAAGCAGCACCCUGCCGGCACCCCAAGAUGCUGCAGCCCUGCACAGCUGUACAGUAGAGCCCUCAUGAUUACAGAUUUGGAUCGACCUCAGCCAGCCCUUUGCUGAACUGAGCCCACGUGGGGCACGUCAGGAAGCAAAUGAUCACUCUGCGCUUCUCCAGGCUGCUCCGAGGCACAAAAACAAGCAGAGUGGUCCAGCGCAGUAAAGCAUGUUUGAGUUUGCUCUGAGUCGGGAGGGAGCCGAAGGGGGCGGCAGGAAAACAACAGGUGGCACAAAGUCAAAAGCUCGCAGUGUUUCCAGGAAUCCCAGCUUGUAUUUUAGAGGUAAAGUUACACUUUAAUCCCAGUGGGUUUCCGAGUUCGGGGCGUCUUUGUGAAUAUUUAUUUGAUAAACAGGCUGUGAAAUGUUUUCCACUCGAUCUAAUAGGAGAAGAAUUUACCUUCCUCCUUACAGCAAGCCCAUCCCUUGGAGUACACUGAUCAGUUUAAUUUAGACUGUGGCUUCAACUACACCUGCAAGAUCAAUGUGCAGUGCAAACACGCUCCUCUGUUGUCAGAACCACGCUUACUUCCGCUCAGCAGCUGCCCGUUAGAAAGCUGACAGUGGAAAAUCAAAGCAAGCAGCCCUCAGAUGGGAAUGUGUGAGUGGCUCUGCUCCGACUGACUUAAAUACAGCAGCACAAAACCUCCUGCUUUACACAAGCUUGACUUACAGCACAAAUGCGGGGUGUGAAGUGAGGCUGGAGGCAGGGAGAAGGCACAUGCUUGGCCUUCGUGCAGUGUCAGCUUACAGAGCUGGCGGGACUCGCUGAAAAAAAGAAAGCCUUAAUACAGCAAACCUAUUAAAACCAACACCUGUUAUAGGCAUCAAAAAUAAAACCAAGCUUCAAAAGAGGCUCCGCACCUCGGGUAGGGUUCUAUUAAUGUGUGAGCACAUUUUCAAAGUCACCGUAUGAGAGAGAUCACAAGACUGAAAACAUGAGGUUGAGAAGCCCAGGGUUUGGUUAAUGCUUCCAUACAGGGAAAGUACCAAAGAACAAACCAUUGGCGGAGCCAGAAAGAUUCAGGUGUGCUACUGCAGGACACGCCACGCUCAGUGUCAGACAGGGCACAGCCAGAAGGGCUAUCAAAGCCGCAGUAAGACAAGAUGGGUCACACACACUGUGACUAAGCCAGGCCUGGAGUUACCUGCCCUCCUGCUCACAUUGAUACUCGUGGAAAUGAUAAAGACAGUGAGACCAUCCACGCAACAGAGCACAGAAGGAACACGCAGGUGACAAGCUGGAAAUCUGUGCGUGAGACCUUCCCCUGCAAGUCUGAACUGCCCGAAGUGCGUCAGCCUUCAGGCUUCCCAGCUGCUCUGAGAAGGCUGUCUAACAUUGCACUGUCAUCUCAGCCUUGCCAGCAUCAUCUGCAAGGCUCAAGAUUUGGUACCAUUACAAGAAUGCACGUUUCUAUACAGCCUAACACAUGCUGUAUUUGCUUAAGGGAGCAGCCCCACUUUCUUUUCAAAGUAGUACUGCAUGGGUUAUUCUUCGGGCAGGAAGCAAGGAUGCCUGCAGCAGCCCCCACUUUUCUCAGAUGCUCUGAAUCACUCCUUCCCUGAGGAAUCCUGGCAGGGACCCAGGCUGCCACAGAUCCAGCUCUGUUUGUUCAGGUGCUGGCUGCCUGCACAAGAGCAGAGCAGCAGCAGGCCAAGCAGCCACAAAAAGAGAGGGGAAAAACGGCAUAACUUCUACAGGUAUCCCAACCUUCCCUUAAAGGCUCACAUGCUCUGUCUGGAUGUCAGGAUCUUCCCUCUCCCAACUUCUCCUUCAGAACCUGGCCUUUGUAAGGCACAACAAUGCUCUCAGCCUUGUUUAGGAUGGACAAGCACCAAGAAAAGCACCCACAGCUACACGAGGGCCCAGACACACACGGGCUUUAAAACAAAUGCUUUGACUUGUAUCCUUUAAUGAAAUGGUAAGUCUGCAUCUCUCCUGCAGGUCAUGGGUGCUCACUCAGACAGCAGCCUGGGAGAUGGGAUUUGCUCAUUCAGCCCAUUGCAUCCAGAAGCAUCAGCCAACUGCAAUCCAGUAACAUUACAAAGGCCUGGGUUAUGAAUUCCUGAUUCCCACAAGCAAACCGUUACUCACACUAAUAGUUUCACUGCAGUCAACAGGAGUAUUCAUGUGAGACUAGCUUGACUCCAAGGGCUAACUUUUCACGCCAUUAAAGGCUACUUUGCGGCUGCCCACAGCACCAAGCUCAUCUGCCUCUCAACCUGACAGACUGCAACCACUGACUGGUGUAGGUCAAGUACAGGCUCAGAGCAUCCUCAGGCCCUGGGUACCAAAAUGCAAGCAGGUUUCCUCCUCCCAGGCACAUUCUCAUGGCUCAUAAGGCAACCACAUGGGUAAGGACUGGGCAGAGGCCAUGUGUGCUCUCUGAAAGCUGGACCUGGAACAUUCGUUCAGGGCUCCUCCUAGGUUCAGCUCUGUCUGCAUGAAGCAAAGCCUUUCUUCUAAUGUAACCAAAAAGCCACGUUCAGAACGAUGCAUUCUCUCAGGAUAUUUUCAAACUGGCAAUGUUUAUGUAAACUUUCCGACUUGUUAAGAGAACUGUAUGCUGUUUGUCAGACCCACUGAGGUAAGUGAUGUAAUUUUAAAGAAACUUUCUACCUCCUUGAUCUGCAUGGCUUCUCAAUAGACUUUGACUUGCCACCAUAUGAUUUUGGCUAUUUUUUGCAAUACGCAACUUCCUAAGCUUUCAGCACUCAAUCCAUUAGUAGAGUAAAAUGUGUAGGACAGGCAGGACUAGAAGUCAGUCAUCUUUAAGACAGAGGCUGCCUUAUCUACUCAUCAGAUUACACAACUGGUUAUGACACCAAAGCAAAUUAAGAUUGCUGAAGACAAGACAGUCCCUGUUAUGGGCACAGUCCCCCCAUCAGCAAACAGGGUGGUUCCAAAAGCACUAGAGUCUUUCCUCUCUCUUCUGGUUAUACCUGAUGCAGUGUGAAGAUAAUACUCCAGAGAAGCUUUUUAAAUGUUGCGUUCACAAAGAGAAGAGAUCCCUUAAAAAGCUGAGUAAAGCAUCUUUCAUUGCCUGUCACAACCCUUCUGUAAGGAGCUUUCUUGGCCUUUUAUGAACUCAAUACCGCAGCACAACCUUUCAUCCCUGAGCAUAGUUUCCCCUCAAAACACCUCGGCAUUGAUCUUCAUAGUCACUGCGUGCAUCCAUCUAAAGGAUGAUGCACCCUCUAGGGUUGGUGCAGGGGACCCUCAGUAGGGGCUGCUCAGCACACACUGCAUCUUGGCCUGUUCUCUGGCAUAACGAAGGGCAAACAUCUCUGAACCACUGGGCAUUAUCAAGGCUGGUUUGGAAGCAAGCAGUUUGUGAAAACUCAUAGCUGUGCUAGUCUGUAAACCCCUUCUCCAGCUCUCACUGCACUCUACUGCUCAUCGCUCUCCAUCUUUUCAUAUCCCCUGACCUCUGGCUGGAGCAAGCACUGAGAAAGGCUGCAAAGGAGAGGAGAGGCUCUGCUGAGUGCAGAACUCUGCUAAGAAGGAACAGAAUUGUCCUGUGGGAAUAGAAUGAAGAGAGUCAUAUAAGGCAGUCCUCCAAGCAGACUGCCAGAAAACACAUGGCUCUGCAUUGCCUAUCUGGAUGGGGUCAUGGGCACAGCACAGCCUCUUUGAAGGGGCUCAAUCAGCACUUAAAAGGGGUCAUUCAGUUGCAGUUGCUAGAAGAUGACAGGUCAGUGUUUUUAUGCUAUACACCUUAUGUCUUUGGUCUGCCUUUGUCUCUUGCUCCAAUAGUUGCUUUUCCUCAUGCAUUUUUACCUCAAGGGCUAUUUUUCUUGCUGCUGAUAUCUACCAGCCAAAUUCAAUUCUCAAUCAGAAAUUGAAUGUAUGAGAAAGCCUGGCAUCCACCUCACCAAUCUGCUGCUCUGUUGAGGUCCUGCUCUCCACCGGCCCACACUUGUACAGCACCCAGCAGAAGGGCUGCUGCCUCACCCCACAUCCUCAAUGCUGCCCUAAAAAAUGAGGGGGAUUUGUGACAAGGAGAGGCAGAAUCACAACAAGAUGCCAGUGUAACUCACCCAAGAGCCACAGCCAGGGCAGCUACCCUAUCCCACUCCCAAGCAGACAGCAUCCUCUUUCAUUGUCACUGCAAGCAAGUUUUGUGCUUCUAAUUAACAUGGUUAGCAUUUUCAUGUGAAAGCCAAUAGGGUCCAGGAUCACAAGGCAUGUAGGCACUUUUAUCCUUAAAUCCUGAUGCUGAUUUUAGUUUCUCUUUGUGUAAUACAUGAUCAAAGUAAAGAAGAUCCACCACAGCCUCAUGAGUGCAUCUGUUUUGUGGGUGGCUUUGUUUUGCUUUUGUCUCUCCACAGGAGCGAGGAGGGGAAAAUACACAAGUGGAGAAGCAAUUUAAGCGCAAACCAAAUGUAAUGAUUCUGCCCAUGGUGCUGGGACAUUAAUCCAAAGUGUAAUUACAAGCAGACUCCUUGAUAGCACACACUGUGUGUGCCUGAACAAUGACAGAAUAUGCCACAGGCUUUUCCCAUCUCUGAUAGGAGCACAGUUCAAAAACCCUGACACUGAGGCAGGUAAAUAAAGGACAGUAUACUUGAGUAUCUAUCUACUCCUCAGACCAUGAAACUCUCAAAGUCCAAUGGUACUUGCAGCAGACCCUGAUAGAAGGCAGCAGUUAAAGAAACAAGCAUUUUUGAUUGGACAAGCGAGCUCCUGUUAGCACUUGGGAGAUGUAGAUAGGCCGGCUGGUUAGUCUGUUCCAACACGACACACACUUGUGCUCUGUUGAAAGGGCUUAUCUCUCUUGUCAGCAAGGUCACCAGAGCAUGGAUAGCCUCUGGGCAGGCUGCACUGGGGAGCUGUACUCAACUGAGACUGUUAAGCCUACAAGAAGGGGUAGUUCCUACAUGGAAAAGCAAUGGUCAAGUUCAUAACAAAAACAGCUCUUCUUAAAGAGUCUAGGCACCUUGUCAUUAAUAAAACAUGUCAAGGGUGGCUUCAGGAAACUGCAGAACAAGGGCUCAAGAUGCAGGGAACAGAAGAUUUGAUCUCAGAAGCAGGACUGACACUGUGCUAACCCAGGCUGAUGUAAAACACUAUCGGUUCAAGCUUCCCCAGAGCAGAUGUAAAAUCACCGGUCAAAAGCAUUUGUCACCACUUACUAAGUUCUUCACAGCUCUUUAAUAGGACCGUUUAAUUCUUCAGUUUCUCACAUUUUGAAAAGGAAGAAGGCUGUUCCAAGAACAAAAUCUGUGGGCAAAGAACUUCAGUAAGGCCUCUAAAAGGCAGUUCUUUCCCAGGGCUCCUAAAUCUUAGAGGAAGUCUGGACCCUUUUCCCUGGUUGUUGAUACCAAUCAGCCCCUCACCCACCUUCCCAUUCAGGAUUUGCCUUCAUGCAGUCUAUAUAGUGACCUGCAUUACAGACAGGAUGGGAGAAGGUGGUAUUUUCAAUCUAAAGACAAUAAACCUCUUAGAGAGUCUUUCUGUUGCCAUCAACUCAUCUCUUUUUCUCCAUCUGCCUUUGCUAUUUUCCCCAAUGUGCAAUUGAAUGUUAAAUGGUUUGAGACAGGCAGAACAUGUACUCACCCAACCACUUACUCCUGAUCAAUAUUCACAUGGAAUUCCUAUUACCAAGUGAGAAUGAUGCACACUUGGAAGGGAAGAGAGCUUCUUAGGAAACCAUUUCAUCUAAAGGUAUGACUGAUCAUUUCCCCAUCUCCCUUAACCUCUUUGCCUACUGCCAGCACAGCUGUUUGUACAACACCAAGACCAUAACUUUUAACACAAUCUCUGUUGUUCAUCCCUGCAAUUAUUUGGGGAAUUUAAUACAGGUUUAAAACACCAUAAAACCCAACAUGCAAUCAGCUUUUAUUCAGCUAAAAGUUAGCUUUCUAGAGAUUCUUUGCUAAUCUUUUCCAAUCUAGACAUGGCAAGUCCUCAUUUUAGUGAAUGCUGUUUACUCAAGCGUUUCUUUACUCUGAAUUACGCACUGUUCCUGAUGGUGCCAGUGGAAGCAAUGAUGGAAGUGCUAGGCAUCGUACAGAGCAGAAGGUAAAUGGCAAAACUGAUGCUUUUACUCACUGAGCUUUGAACCACAUUCAUUUUUAACACCUUUGCUGAAAUAGUUUCAGCCUUGUUAUACGCAAAGAGACUAAAAGAUACUGCCUGUUCUCAAGCCUUCCAGGACACUUGAAGGUAAACAAAACGGAUCUUGAAAGCACUUAUGGAAUCACACUUUAAUAAAAUAACAACAUUAAAUCACAGUUUGACCCCUACUCUUACUUCUCACUAGGCUUCUAUUUGUGGCAACUGCUGGGAAGUGGGUGGUAUGCCAGGGAGGAGACCGUGCUCUGAACAAGCAUCACUGAUCGAAGAACCACAACAAAUGACUGGACAUGUAUAGACUGAUACAGAGAGCAAAGUGGGAAAGGUAGAAACCAUGGAAACUGUAACACAUUGAUAUUUUCCUGACACUGCAAUUUUGUCAAAAAGCUGCAUCAAUUUCAAACUUUUGGGGAAAAAAGAAAUGGAUAAAGGAAUCUACAUGAAUAAAUAACUUUACCUGCUUUUAUUGCACUUGCAACUUUGCUUUUACUCACCCCUGAGCAAACUACAUUGCAGUUUCCAUCAUUUUUUCAGGCAGAAAAGUUCAACAUGCUAAAAAACUCUUAUCUCAGCAAGUUAUUUAUGACUGAAAUCUGUUCAGCCUGUGAAGACUAACAAAGGAAUCGCCUCUGGAGGCAUGUGCUUUAUUUACCAUAUGCCAUUAAAUGAGACAGCCUAUCUACCACAGACAUUAAUAGUAGCAAGUUUGGGCUAUUCUAAGGUUCAAAUGUGAGGCUAUUUUCACAGUGACCUCAACAAAAGAUCAUGGUCACAAAUAACCUUAAUAACUAAUGUAAGCUUGAUCUGCAGAGGGACAGAAGUUGGAAACCACCUUAAGCACUGUGCACGACACACACUUGCCCUCAAACAACACCAGAAGAUGCUUUUAUGCUCAUGAGUUCCAUCAGCUUUAGGGCAUUGCCCACUCUUGGCCAGCAGGAAGCAGGACCAUCUUACAUGGACUUUGGUUAUGAAUACAUGAAACACCACACACACACAAGAAAGAUAUUGGUCCAGUAUUUCAACUCUUCAUCUUGCGUUCUGCUCCAAAAGACUGCUUGGGUCUUCUCCUUGCUCCAGAAGGAGCACUCAGCUCACACAGCCAGCUAAGCAGCACACAGGACAUCACAGCAGACCUAGCUAAACUCGCAGCAAUUCCCUCUCUGCAGGAGAAGUUGCCAUGGCUGCACAUAAAGAGUUACACUCACUAAUAAAGAUAUACUAAAGUAGCCUCAAGGGGUAACUGGUAUUCUAAGAACUGCCACCAGCUUUCACUAUAUUUUCCUUCUGGCUACCUUUUACAUUGCUCAGCAUGUGCCCAGAUUGCUUUCUGACACUCUUUUGUUGAGUCUGAGGACCAAGUGCUUCAUUUCUAUGCCUUUUCUAGAAGAAAUGAUUAUUCACUUCCCUGAAAUAGCCUUGGAUCCUUUGCUGAUUCUAUACAUUCACACUGUAUCUGAAAGCUUGAGGAGGACAUGCAAAUGAUUUAGAACAGUUCCUACAGCUCAAAGGAGAAGUCAAAGCAGCGUCUCUCCUGGUGCAUGGCAGCACGUGAUUAAUGAGGAUCUCCUCCAUUGGGAAACUCUUGCAGUCUUUGGCCUCAAAAACAAGCAGACUUUACACACCAGAGCCUUGCCAUGAACUCUCAGCAAAGCAAACAUGAGAGGUGAGUACGAGAAUAUCUUAUACAUGCACGUUGCUUGCAUACUGAACAUCCUGGCUGUCAGCAUUCUUUCUAGUCACCUUUCCACAUCAAUAUAUUCAUAUGCCAAAAUAGAAGCUGAGUAGCACAGCCUGUAGUGCAGACAAAAUCCUCAGGAAGAAGUCUCCCUCCAACCUAUGAGAAGAAUUGCCUAAAUAAACACUGGAGAACUAGUCCCUGUAGACACAAGUGAGAACUGAAGCAAGCACGACAGAUGGUAAAUCUGCUCAUGCUGAUGGAUCUACAUCUGCACACACUACUUCGCCUUGCUCACCAGGGAAAGCCCUCUUUGUGCAAGUCCCAUGCAUGAGGACAGACAGUUGGCUUGCUGAGCUGCUGGAGAAGUCCUGCACACAGGCAGAGCCCAAUGACUUCAACCAGCCUCUCACACGGCUGCAUCCAUGUCACCUAUAUUUUGUGCUUCGGAGUACAAAACUGCUUGCUGUGACAAAGAUGGAAUUAACAGAGUAUUCUCCUCAUUUCUAAUUAAUAUUUCUUUUCACCCCAGCAAAGAUGACUCACACACUAAUUCUCUCAGGGGUGAAGGCAGUUGUUUCAUUUGUGCAGCAAUUAGUACAGUGGGAUUGCAGGCCACAACAGCCCUCCACUUAGUGUUCACUUAGUCCCCAGUUUCUUUAAGACUGAACCUGCCAACUUUCAACAUCACUUACACAGAGGCUUACACUCUGACCUAAUCAGGAACGUGCAAGUGAACUCACAUUUCACGUACAGACUUGAGCUGUAUUCUGUAAAUAGUACCACUGUGGUAAUUUCAUGGUUUUUUUUCCUCUAUGGGUCCCAGAGCAGCUACCACACAGUCAAGAAUUAAAGCAAAGCAGCAGUUCUCCAGACACUCAAUCAAGUCUUCACGAUCUUAAUUUGAAAAUCAAAGAACUAGAGUCACACAUCAACACCUCAGCUCCUGGUCAAAAGCUUGUGGAAAUGAGGGCACACUGGCUAGAUAAUUUUUGGCUCUGAUCAACAGUUUAAGCUAAUGGAGCAGGACAUGUUUGUCCUGCAUAAAAGCAAAACUGCACUUCAAAAAAAAUCUCACGGACCACACAGAUCUUUACAAAAAGGCUUUGCAAAUCUCACUGGAUAAUAGCAGAGAAGCAGUGCAAAUAGCACUGAAGUAACAGUUGCUUCCCAAAGCAUUCUCUUAAGAAAGCACACAGCAACAUUUUCAGAAGGAGAUCAACUGCAUGAUCCCAGUUCUGCCAUGUUAGUGAUCUCCAGCCACUUAAUCAGGUACAAAGGUCUGACAAGAUGCAGUAAAAGUUAAAGCUAAAGUUAGACAUACAAGAUUCAUGUUAACAAUCUAUUUUAACCAGGAGUACAGUGGAAUUCCCAACACUCCGAAGGGAAAAAGAAAAAUCUUAACAACUACGCAAUUCAAAUGGUAACGCUGCUCCUGAUACAGAGUUACUGGCUGCAAUCUUUGACCUCUCUCUGCCCUGACACCCAGAUGGAACACAAUGCAGAACCCUCCUUCACUACCGUGCUGCUCCAGUGGGCAUCUGAACUCAUCACUGUCCUUUCAGAGAGACCUUGCACAUUCCCUUUCACUCCCAAUCCCCAGUUCUCCACAUAGUUAGUUUACAAAUUUUACAUGAUAUAUUUUGCCUAUGGCACAGUAGAUCACCUACCCUUCUCCUAUUAGCUCUCUCUGUUUAAUUACAGUUUAAUGUGAAUUGAUCUUUACAUUAAUGAGCCUGUAAAGAAGAUUGAUUUUCUUCAAGGGACUUUUAUGCUCAGUUUGGCAGCAGAGUGGUCCUAUUGAUUUCGCCUUCCCCGGUAAACAUGCACAGAGUGCCGCAUCCUCUGUGAAUCAGCUAAUCCUAUUUCACGCUCUUUUGCUUCAAAAAAUCCUUGUUCUGACUUCCUUGUUAUCUGUGCUUAUUCACAGCAAGAUCAUGGGGCCAAUGCCUCUCAAACAGCUCUGGCUGUUGCUAAUAUACAGCAGACUGCCGUGGGUCACUAUCCCUUUUGUUCCUAAAUGGUUGAGGGCUUAAAAGACUUACAGUGAAAGAGACGAAAGUUAUUUUUAAGUGUUUAAUCUGUUAACUUCCUUAAUUCCUAACCAGCUAAGGAUGUAGCCUGGAGUGCUCUGCUUACCACACUUGCUCUGGAGGUCUGGAGAGCAGGCUCUCCACCGAGCCCCACAGCUGCAGAACAGCCUGUGCCUGCGUGUCCACAUCACUGGCUGCCAACUGGAUCAGGCUUGCCAACUUGGGACCACAGCAGAGGAUGAGGAUCCUCCUACCACCUUGUGCAGCCAUCCCCAAAGCUCUCCAGGAUGCAUUCACGCUCACCCAGACACAGGUAGGUAGGUGAAGCAGGAGCUGAAGUGCAGCCAGGCACCAAAACUGACUUUGCAACUCGACAGGCAUUUGGAGGAUACCUGCAGUAGCCGAUCUAUGCAGAGCUCAUUGCAGCUCUGCCCCUCCUCGUCUUCCACGCUAGCAAGGCUAAGUGACUCUCCACUCAAGCUGGUCAGGAAGCUGGAUAUACGCAGAUUCAAUUCUGCUGCAAAGAAAUGGUUGCUUCCAUACUCCCUUUCCCUACCAGAUCAUACCACAGCUCGAGAAAAGAGUCUUCCAAAGAGCCUACAGAGUUAACACACUUGAGUUGCAGCAGAACACUGGGAAGGGAAAUCCUCAGCCAAAAGCAUGUCAGUGAAAACAUCCUGCCAUCAACUCCCAAACGUCCAAGUCUAGGAACUGUAGCUAAAUUACAAACGCUGUGGGAAUUUCAGGCAAGAUUCUCCCCUCAGCUACUCCGAUGUAAUUUCGGAAUGAAUCCAGAUUCACAGUCUCUCCCCCUCCCAGCUGAAUUUCCUGGCUUUUGUUUGCACUAGCAGAUGUUUGCAUUUAAUGUCUGUCUUUAUUUGGUAACCCGUCCAUAGAUUAUUUUCCCCUUCUGUUCUAUUAAAAGCCUUAUCAAUUCCCUUAUGUUUGCUCUCGUUCAGAUGAACAACUUUGGCAGUAUUUUCAAUGUGCAAGGCAAACUGGCUCUUCAAGGAAUAAUUAAACUGAAUUAAACUUCAUGGCAGUAUAUUAAGGCAUAGCAUGCUUGAUACACAUGUUACCCUUGCAUCCAUCUGCAGCCUGAAAUAUCCAAAGAUUUGCAAUAAGCUUUGAGAACGCUCUUUCCAACAGAUUCCCACAUGUUUGCAUAUAUAUAAGUUCUUGGUACAUGUACAUAAGGUCAAGUAAAUGUGGGGUGAUGAAGACAGAUACGGGAAGCCCCAAGGCAGGGAGCAAGAAGUGAUCAAGCUCACUGAAACAACCAUUAUUGUAAACUUCAGUUUGGCAAUAUGGCAUUUUCCUUUCUCCCAGCAUCAAAAGGAUAGACACCCUCUCCUCCAAUUUAGGAAGAGCUGGAAAUGAAGUAACCCAUUCACCAGGAUUGUUUUGAGCAACAAAUACACAACCAUUGCUUUUAUAAUACGUUCACAGCCCUUUGGAAAUACUUAACCACAUGCAAUAUACAAAACCUACUUCAGAGGUUUGUGAGGUAAACACACUUCACACAUUUAUAAACACUGAAAAAAAAGGAAAUCUAUUUAUUUUUCUUUAGCAGUAAGAAUACACUGUAACACUAUAUACUUAAACAGAAACCAAUUUCUCAGAACACAGCCUUCAUUAUGAGUCCUCAUCCAGAGUUUGGUUUGGCAACCUCCCCAAUUAUUACCUCACUGAUUUGAGGGCUAGAAGAAACCAGUAUGAUGGCACAAUUCAAUUCCUUACAUCACACAAGGCCAAAGAACUUCACCCAACAAUUUACGUACCAAGUCCAUUAACCUGGAGUUGAACUAAAGGACCAUCUUUUAGGAAGAUAUCCAAUUGAUUGACUUCCAGAGAUGGAAAAAGCCUCACUUCCUCAGCAAAUCAUUCUGAUGAGAAUCAGUCAACAACAUCGAUUAAAGCAGCACUCCAGAGAAGGCCAGGAAGGCACCCUGUACCAUGCCUGAAAUGUCCCAUUUCUGCCAGUACCUUCUGUGAAAGGAGGCUCUACAAAUCAACAGCACAGGAUUUCUUCAGCAGAAUCGAACUUGAAGCUAUAUAUGAGUGUAAAAUCUAACCAAGCAUCUAGUUUUAAAAUAUAUUGUCCUGUAAGCCCCUACUGUCUUUUAAAACACUCAAGAGACCUUUAAAUCAAUACCAGCCUACAGCAGAUAUCCAUUUCACUAUGAACUCAAAGGCAUUUGUCUAAAUAAAAGUCAAACUGCAGUUUAAACUCAGAGUGUGUUUGAAAGCCAAGUCCAUAUUCAUAGCACAAUUACGAAUUAAAGUGCAAUUUGCCCACAGAUUACAUUACUACUAUUUUUUUUUAAACCACACAGCAAAAUCAGGUUGGAGCUUGUCCCUGUCUGAUGUAUAGGCGAAAGGAGAAAAUACAACAGGUAAUGUCCUGCAGGACAUUAUAUCCCUUAAAGCAGGCACAGAAACUCUAGUGACAUACUGUAAGAAGGAAAUACAGACACUGUGCUGGCACAGCCACGAUUGUGCCAGAAUCCAUCAGUUUUAAUGUAUUUCUAUGCUUUCUACGCUGCAAAUCUUUUAAGGUAACAUAUUUAUCCUGAAAACAUUCCUCUGCAAUAAGAGGCUGCUCCACAAACCACUGAGGAUCGUGGGCACAAUGAUCAUCUCUGUGCUUGUCAAGGGAACCGAUCCCUGGCUUACCCAAUGCCUGAACACGGAGCAAUACUGAUGUGACCUUCAACAGCUCAAAAGUGAAAAAGUCAUAGCAGAAUAAAGGAUUUCAGGGACUAACAUCUUCUAAAGCAACUUUCUGAUUAUUGUUGCCAUUUGAGAAGUUCGAACAUCAGAGUCAUCAGACAAGCAGCUAGCUCUUCCGACAGCACAGCUGUAUUUCACCUACUGCAAUAAAAGAGACUUCCCAGUGCUUGCUGCAGAAAUACAGGUGAAACCUACCUUAUAUACCUAAAUCUUGUUUUGCCCACACUACCCACUCCAACUUCCAGCUAGCCUCACAAUAUGCAGGGAAAAUGAAAACUAGAAAUAUAGCAUCAGUACAAAAUAAAUGACACCCUUGCAAAUAGAUAGAUACACCAAAAUAAUGAGUUUACUCCACUUCUCCAAUGUUAACGUGCAUUAAAAUGCCCAGGAAUUUGUCGCCUGAAGCAUCAGCAAGCAAAGGACGAGUUUCCCAGAACUCAGAUCUCCUCACUAGAGGGUAUUUGGCAUGCCAGUCACAGCAUGCAAAUGGGAGAAAGAAUUAACAUGCUCUGAUAGAUAGAUCAUUGGGACUGGGAGUCAGGAAACCUCAGUCUAUUCCUGGCUCUCUUAAUCUCCUGCUGUGUGACUGGGUCAUGUCACAUCACCUCUCCAGAGCUUUUGUUUCCACAGCCACCCUUUGUCUGUCUUGUCUAUUUAGACUGUAAAUAAAAUUGAGGUAGGUAUUGUCUCGGUUUGCCCAACGCUGACAAAAUGAGGCCUCAAUCUUGGUUGGGCUCCAGUAAUGCAAAUACAGAAGAGAACUCAAAACUUGAGGUCAUGGGUGCACAUGACGCUCCCCCACCACAAAGCACGGAUCUCAAAUGCAAGGCAUCACGUGUAGCUGCGACAUCCCCAUUGAUUCGGCCAAGCAUCCCAGCAGUGUAGGUGGAUGGAGAUGCCAAGCUCAGGGUUCUGCUGCCCUGUCACUGGAAAUCAUCACGCUCCUGCUCUGCCAUAGCAAAGACCACACUGCUCCUCAUGGAACCCCUCGGUCUGAUCGAUACAGUGCUUGGCUGUGCAGUCGAGCAAUGGCUCUCAUUGAGCAAAUAUUUCUUCACCAGUGUUUUAAGAAGUCUUCUCUGAAGAGCCCUGAAAACCUGAGCCCAAAAGCCCAUCAUAUGCUUCAGGGAAGCAUCCUACAGCAUCCUACAAGAGUCAGAAGCUGACAGCAAAGACAACAAAACAGCCACCAACUUGGAUCUAAUGGUCAGCUCCUUUUUUCCCCAUUCGAGCAGAAGAUGGCAUAAGGCUUGUGGAGUUUGUUAAGGUAUUUUGUUUUGACUUAAUGGUACAAGAAAUGCUCUAUGCACUAUUUAUCGAUUAGAUACAUCAAGUAUAUAAUUCCUCGUAUUGGCUAAUCCAAAAAUGGUGUUUUCCCCCCUCACAUACAAUGUCCCUGAUCAAGAACUAAGAACAAGCUAAAUCAACAUGGCAAGGGCACUCUUCUGUCUAUUUAUCCCUUCCAAUCUUUAAAUAAGAAAGCAAUGUUUGCCUUUAUUUGCCAUUGUAGAUCACUGAACGCUGCAGAGGCUCAAAAGGAAAGCCUUGUUAAAUAACCCAAUACAGAGUCUGCCUUUAAACUACCUCCUCAAAGUAAUAAUGCUGUCACAAAACCAGCCGUGUUUGCCUGCAAGAAGGAACGAGGCAGCUCUCUGACCUGACAGAUGCUGAUCCUGCCUCCCUGGCAAGGUGCUGGGUAGACUGGGAGUUCAACACACUGGUUUUGGUUCUGCUUUGGGAAGCUGGCCAACAU